rnacentral:rRNA from 1 species
CAGAUACCGCCCUAGUUCUGACCGUAAACUAUGACAGCCAGCGAUCCGACACCGUUCCUCAAAUGACACGUCGGGAAACUUCCGGGAAACCACAAGCUUUUGGUUUCCGGGGGAAG